ACUCCUACGGGAGGCAGCAGUGGGGAAUUUUUGGCAAUGGGGGCAACCCUGACCAAGCAACGCCGCGUGGGUGAUGAAGUCUCUUGGGACGUAAAACCCUUUCGACGGGGAAGAAAACCGCMAGGUUUGACGGUACCCGUAGAAGAAGCCCCGGCUAACUCCGUGCCAGCAGCCGCGGUWAUACGGGGGGGGCAAGCGUUGUUCGGAAUUACUGGGCGUAAAGGGCGCGUAGGCGGUUCGCUAAGUUGGAUGUGAAAACUCUGGGCUCAACCCAGAGCCUGCAUCCAAAACUGGCGGGCUAGAGUUCUGGAGGGGGUAGCGGAAUUCCUGGUGUAGCGGUGAAAUGCGUAGAUAUCAGGAGGAACACCGGUGGCGAAGGCGGCUACCUGGACAGAAACUGACGCUGAGGCGCGAAAGCUAGGGGAGCAAACAGGAUUAGAUACCCUGGUAGUCCUAGCCCUAAACGAUGGAUACUU
rnacentral:rRNA from 1 species